GUCGAUCGUGCGCGGGAUGAAGCGCUGCAGGUUCGACCCCUGCGGCGUGACACCACCGCCGAUCAUCUCGGCGAUAGACCCC
rnacentral:tRNA from 1 species